AAUUUCAGGGACUUUGACCGUGGCAUGUUGGUGCCAAACAGACUGGUUUGAGAAUUUCAGAAACUGUGAUCCCCUGGGAUUAUCACUUGUCUUUUAAAAGAAAAAAAAAGAAAAAAGAAAAAAAAAAAAAGAGUGAAUGGCAGUUCUGUGAGGAGCUCCAGGUUGAUGAGGAGAACAGCUGGAAUGGUUCAAGCUGACAUGAAGACUAUGGUAAAUCAAAAUAAUUACUCUUUAAAACCAUGGUGAGCAGAAAAGCAUCUCAGAAUGCACAACACAUUAAACCUUGAGGUGUAUAGGCUACAACAGCAGAAGACCAAACUGAGUUCCACUCGUGUCAGCUAAGACCAGGAAUCUGAGGGUACACAGAUGUUGAUGCUGUCUAAAGGACCCUUGAUCACUGGGGCACCUCUGCAAUUAAGGCAAGAUUAUUGGUUUCACUGAUCCCCAUCAACAUUUAAUGACAACUGGGAGGGCAAGGAAAAGAAGCCUGCAUGGGACAGAAGUGCAAAGGAGAAGAAAGCUACUUUGCUACUUCAAUACUUCUGAAAAAGUACUGUAAGACACCAGGCAAUAAAGACUGGGAAACAAUCAGGACUGAGUAAUGAUGGAGGGAGAGUCAUCCUCCACACAUCCACAUGACCAAUCUCCUAU